GUGGAUUAGAUACCCUGGUAGUCCACGCCGUAAACGAUGAGUACUAGUUAUUGGGGGUAUUGACUCCCUCAGUGACGCAGCUAACGCAUUAAGUACUCCGCCUGGGAAGUACGGUCGCAAGACUAAAACUCAAACAAAUUGACGGGGGCCCGCACAAGCGGUGGAUUAUGUGGUUUAAUUCGAAGCAACGCGCAGAACCUUACCUAGGCUUGAACUCCUACGAAUCCGGCGUAAUGGCUGGAGUGUCCGCAAGGAAAUGUAGUGAGAGGUGCUGCAUGGCCGUCGCCAGCU
rnacentral:rRNA from 1 species